rnacentral:lncRNA from 1 species
ACAGCUCCAACAUGGCUCCGCGUCUGUGCAGCAUCUCUGCGGCGGCGCGGCGGCUACUGGGGGGCCCAGGGCUUGGUGCCCGGGACACUGCGGCUGUGGCUGCGGCGCGGUUCUAUUCCAAGGACAAUGAAGGCAGCUGGUUCCGUUCCCUCUUCGUACACAAGGUGGAUCCUCGGAAGGAUGCCCACUCUACCCUGCUGUCUAAGAAGGAGACCAGCAACCUCUACAAGAUCCAGUUUCACAAUGUGAAGCCCGAGUGUCUGGAUGCCUACAACAGCCUGACGGAGGCCGUGCUGCCCAAGCUGCACCUGGAUGAGGACUACCCCUGCUCGCUUGUGGGCAACUGGAACACGUGGUACGGGGAGCAGGACCAGGCUGUACACCUGUGGCGAUUCUCAGGUGGCUACCCAGCCCUCAUGGACUGCAUGAACAAGCUCAAAAACAACAAGGAGUACCUGGAGUUCCGAAAGGAGCGGAGCCAGAUGCUGCUUUCCAGGAGGAACCAGAUGCUUCUCGAGUUCAGCUUCUGGAAUGAGCCACAGCCUCGAGCUGGCCCCAACAUCUACGAGCUGAGGACGUACAAGCUCAAGCCAGGAACCAUGAUCGAGUGGGGGAACAACUGGGCUCGGGCCAUCAAGUACCGGCAGGAGAACCAGGAAGCAGUGGGCGGCUUCUUCUCGCAGAUAGGAGAGCUCUACGUUGUGCACCAUCUCUGGGCCUAUAAGGACCUGCAGUCUCGGGAGGAGACCCGAAACGCUGCCUGGAGGAAGAGGGGCUGGGAUGAAAAUGUCUACUACACAGUCCCCCUGGUGCGACACAUGGAGUCUCGGAUCAUGAUCCCUUUGAAGAUCUCGCCUCUGCAGUGAUGCUGCUGCUGCCUCCCCCUCUCCAUCGGGGUAGCCAGGGACAAAGGGGCUUCCAGUCCUGCUGUCUUGGUUUCCUCUUGGAUCCUGUGGACUCUGGCGGGUAGUGCUCAGCUCAGACAAGGGAAAGCUGAAGGAUGAUGAGUUUCUGAGGACUUAUAGUUCUGCCCAGACCCUUCCCAUCUUCCCCACUCACCCCUUCCCCUGUGUUGGAAGCAGUUUUUAUUUUAAGUUCUCUGAAUGAAGAAUAGCAACCUUUUAUGUCUUCUUACGGUUCCCUCUAAGAUGACUCAUCUCAAGGCCAGCAAUCCACAGUCUCACCCUGGAAAUCCUCAGUUUAGCUUUAGCUGCACAAAAGGUAGUGUGUCCAGUGGUUAGAGGUGGGGUAGAAAGAGAGAAGGUCAUACCAGGCCAGGCUCUCACAAAUUCUCUGGUUUCCACUCAGCCACUGAGCCAAGUCCCUCCUCCUGGAGAAAAGCCUAGAACUGCCCCAAGAAGCAAAAGGGAAAACCCUCAAAUUAGCAAAGUCUGCUGGACAUCCACAUAUUCCACCCAAUAUUCUACACAGAAAGGCUGGGAAAGGGGAUGGGAGCUGGGAGGAUCUGGGGGAGGGAAAAAGAAUGGAACAGAAACUCAGAAGGUAGAACUUAGGACUCAGAACUUGUGUUGGAACUGCAGAAUUUGGAAUAUAGAAUCGAGAAGAUAGGAGUUCCCAUUAUGGCUCCGUGGAAACAAAUCUGACUAGUAUCCAAGAGGAUGCAGAUUUGAACCCUGGCCUCGCUCAGUGGGUUAAGGAUCUGGUGUUUCCAGAUGUGAUGGUGCUGUGGCGGAGAUCACAGAUGUGGCUGAGAUCCCAUGUGGCUGUGGCAUAGGUCAGUAGCUGUAGUUCUGAUUCGACCCCUAGCCUGGGAACCUCCAUAUGCUACAGGUGUAGCCCUAGAAAAAGACCAAAAAGAAUUGGGAAGAUUGAACAGAGGUGACGAGACCUCUUGGGGAGUAAGUGUAAUACAAGACAGUUGCAGAGAGGCCCAUCUAUUCCCCAGACAAUGAUGUUGAGAACUUGAGUGGUUCUAGCCCUUCUGUGCAGGCAGCGUCUCCUGCCCUCCUUACUGCCCUCUGCAGCCAGAGCUACUGGGCUAGGUACCAUAUUUCCCUCACUCUGCAUUCCUCUUCUCCCUCUUCACAUUCUAUCAGCCCGACCCUCAUUCUCCUGGGCCAUUGGGUAUGUGGAGUGGGGUCAGUGACUUUGGGGGCUUCCUCAGUGACACCCACACCUCAUGAACCUCUGGGUAGCUUGAUUCUGCCUCCCUUUCAGGAAAACUUAUGCUGGUGUUGAUGGAACCAAUUAAAAUAUUUACUAUAAACCACGGGGUCUUUUCUUCAUCUGCAAGGAAUUUUGGCAGGUGCCCAAGGCAGGGCUGGCUUCUCCACGUGGCUGAUCCACCCCAGUGGAGGGUUUUUUGUUUCCUGAAAUCCUAUCGAGGAGCAUCCUCCCACUAUGGCAGAAGGAACUGCACUAUAUAACCAGGGAUUCGGGACAUGUGUUUCUGCCUUCAGAUAAGUAGGACUUAGUAAACUCUAUCUGUACUCAUACCUGGGGUAGAAAAUGCUUGAAACUGUCAAAUGCUGCAUUAGAUUUGGGGCUCUACCCUAGGUAAAUGUGGCCUAAAAUGGGGAAAAUACCGAUCAAUCUUUGCGGGGGUGGGGGGAGGAGGCUGAAUGAAAUGGGCUUAAAACCCUCCCUGACUUGCUGCCCUCACUAGUGUGGGAUGUUAGGGUGGAUGUGAUGGUGAUUUAGAAUCCAGGUUAUGGAAGCAAAUCCACAGGGAUCCAGAUCUUAACACCACCACGCUGGGUUAUCCUGGGCAUGGGCAAAUUCAUUCAACACCUGGCAGAGCUCCCAUAGUUGUCGGACAUCGUUUUAGGCGCUGGGGAAAGAAUGAACGAGGCACAUAAGAGGCUUUGCCCUUGCAGCCUCGGUUUCCUAGUUUCAGGGGGCAGCAUGAGGCUGCUGGCUGGCUAGGACCCGCUCUGACAAACCAGGUGCCGCCUCCGCCGGCGUCCGCACCUCCUUGCUUCCCAGCAGAUACCAGCACAGCAGUCUGAGCCAGGACCCUUCGCGCUUCGCUUCCGGCCUCCGCGCCUCGCUUCCGGUCGACCGCUCCUUCCUUCCGCUUCUCUAUGGUGCGCGGUCCGCAGUCCUCCCGACGCCGGAAGUGGCUCGUUCACCGGGACGGAUUCUGGGCGCGUGCGGUGUUCAACAUUAUCGAUCACCUGUGGACCAUCAAAAGCCUGCUCCCAGGUCAUCUUUAUCGUCUUCCUCAGUGGAGUGCUUCCUGUGUUAAUGUCCACAAUAGCCCCAGAGCCAUGAAAUAGAGGCGUGGAGACUCCAUCUCGGGGCUUCUGUGACUCAACUUGAAUGAGGGCAUACAGAAUUUUCUGAGCCAGGGAUCAAACCAGAGCCACAGCAAUGCCAGAUCCUUUUAACCAACGGCGCAGGGCUGGGAAUUGAAUCCUCGACACCGCAGGGACAAUGCUGGAUCUUUAACUCUCUGUACCACAGUGGAAACUCCUGGUUCCCUUCUUUUAAAUUUCAGGUCUCUGCUGUUUCCUCCUGAUUUCUCCAAACAACCAUGUCAUCAGAAUCGAGCAAAAAACGGAAGCCCAAAGUGAUCCGGAGUGAUGGAGCUCCAGCUGAAGGGAAGCGUAAUCGUUCUGACACUGAGCAGGAAGGUAAAUACUACAGCGAGGAGGCUGAGGUGGACCUGCGGGACCCUGGCAGAGACUAUGAGCUGUACAAGUACACGUGUCAAGAGUUGCAGAGGCUCAUGGCUGAGAUCCAGGACCUGAAAAGCAGGGGAGGCAAGGAUGUGGCCAUUGAGAUUGAAGAUCGGAGGAUCCAGAGCUGUGUACAUUUCAUGACUCUAAAGAAGCUUAACCGAUUAGCCCACAUCAGGUUGAAGAAAGGAAGAGAUCAGACCCAUGAGGCCAAGCAGAAAGUGGAUGCCUAUCACCUGCAGCUCCAGAACCUGUUGUAUGAGGUGAUGCACCUGCAGAAGGAGAUCACCAAAUGUCUGGAGUUUAAGUCAAAGCAUGAAGAAAUUGACCUGGUCAGCUUGGAGGAGUUUUAUAAGGAGGCUCCUCCAGAUAUCAGUAAAGCCGAAGUCACCAUGGGAGACCCUCACCAGCAAACUCUUGCACGUCUGGACUGGGAGCUGGAGCAGCGGAAAAGGCUGGCAGAGAAGUACCGAGAGUGCUUAUCCAACAAGGAGAAGAUCCUCAAGGAGAUUGAGGUGAAGAAGGAGUACCUGAGCAGCCUCCAGCCCCGACUCAACAGCAUCAUGCAGGCUUCCCUCCCAGUGCAAGAGUACCUGUUUAUGCCCUUCGACCAGGCUCACAAGCAGUAUGAGACAGCCAGACACCUACCACCUCCCCUCUAUGUCCUCUUUGUCCAGGCCACUGCAUAUGGGCAGGCCUGUGAUAAGACGCUGUCUGUGGCGAUAGAAGGCAGCGUGGACGAAGCCAAGGCUCUAUUCAAGCCUCCUGAGGACUCCCAAGAUGACGAGAGCGACUCGGAUGCUGAGGAGGAACAGACCACGAAACGCCGGCGACCCACUCUGGGAGUUCAGCUGGACGACAAACGCAAGGAGAUGCUGAAGAGGCACCCGCUGUCCGUCAUGCUGGACCUGAAAUGCAAAGAUGACAGUGUCCUGCACCUGACUUUCUACUACCUCAUGAACCUCAACAUCAUGACAGUAAAAGCCAAAGUGACAACCGCCACAGAGCUGAUCACCCCCAUCAGUGCAGGUGACUUGCUGUCUCCUGACUCAGUCCUAAGCUGUCUGUAUCCUGGGGAUCAUGGAAAGAAAACUCCAAAUCCAGCCAAUCAGUAUCAGUUUGACAAAGUUGGCAUCCUGACUUUGAGAGACUACGUACUUGACCUAGGUCACCCCUAUUUGUGGGUGCAGAAGCUGGGUGGUCUCCACUUCCCCAAAGAGCAGCCCCAGCACACUGUGGUCGCUGACCACUCGCUGAGCGCCAGCCACAUGGAGACCACCAUGAAGCUGCUGAAGACCAGGGUGCAGUCCCGCCUGGCCCUCCACAAGCAGUUUGCCUCCCUGGAACAUGGCAUCGUGCCAGUUACCAGUGAUUGCCAGUACCUCUUCCCUGCAAAGGUCGUCUCUCGCCUGAUGAAGUGGGUGGCAAUUGCCCAUGAGGAUUACAUGGAGCUGCAUUUCACCAAAGACAUUGUGGAGGCGGGACUGGCCGGGGACACCAAUCUCUACUACAUGGCACUCGUGGAAAGGGGCACAGCUAAGCUCCAGGCGGCCGUGGUGCUGAACCCUGGCUACUCCUCCAUCCCGCCCAUUUUCCAGCUCUGUCUGAACUGGAAAGGGGAGAAAACCAACAGCAACGAUGACAAUAUUCGGGCCAUGGAGAGCGAGGUCAACGUUUGCUACAAAGAGCUGUGUGGCCCCCGGCCCAGCCACCAGCUCUUGACCAACCAGCUGCAGCGCCUGUGCGUGCUGUUGGACGUCUACCUGGAGACGGAGAGCCACGACGACAGUGUGGAGGGGCCCAAGGAAUUUCCCCAGGAGAAGAUGUGUCUGAGGCUUUUCAGGGGUCCCAGCAGGAUGAAGCCGUUUAAAUAUAACCAUCCUCAAGGAUUCUUCAGCCAUCGCUGACCUCCCACUUAGCUAUUGUCCGCCUCCAGACCCCAGUACUGCACUUCUUUCUGAUCUGGCACACAUGUGGCUCUUGAUAUUCUCCAAAGACAGGUUUUCUAUUUGUAGCCUAUUAAAGUGUCACCUGACCGAGUGG